GCCUUCGUGGUGUAACGGUAGCACACUCGGCUCGUAUUCGAGAGAUCCAAGUUCGAGUCCCGGCGAUGGCA
rnacentral:tRNA from 1 species